CCCGAACAGCUUCUGCCCUUUAAGAGCUUACUGCAUGGAAAUAAUUAUCCCCCAGGUACCACACAGCUACUAGUAAUAACAAUUAAUGUGGAUAAAGGGCGUUGAGUCACAGGCAGGUUUUCUCUGCAAGUGCAAUGUAUAGUGUGUUACAAGCCUCUGCAUUUUAUCAGGAAACAGAUUGUAUCUGUACAGUAAUUAUUGUAACUGAUGGGUGGUAAUACAUAUUGCACUGGAAUUUAACUAGACCAUGAGUAUAAUUACACCUGUGACAAUUUCCUGUCAUGAUUGUAAGGCCUUAUUGCCUUUGAAAUGCAGUGUACAACACUGGUUCACAGGAAUGGCUACAGCUGGUAGGCUGACACUCUUUUUUUUGUGGUUCAUAUAGUAAGCCUGUCAUGAGAAAAAGCCUAUUACCCCAUGUUCCUGGGUUCAGCACCUCCCCGGUUCAAUGCCCAAAGCCCCAUUCCCCAUCUUCAAUGUUGAGCUCCCUUGCUCAGGGCCAAGACACCAAACCUGAGCAGGACCACCGCAAGUCAAUUUUCUUCAGACACAUUUGCUAACCUCGGUGCAGAGUCAAGCUGUAGCAGAACCAGGAGCACAAAAGCUUCCCUCCCCUAUCCAGGUUGCUUCUGCUGUGCCAGGCUCCUGCAGGAUCAUCCUGACCAUCAGCCUGCCAGGAGGAGAAUUAACCUCAUCAACUACAGACACUCAUCAGAAAUAUUUGGCCAUUCUGCGGAUCUCAAAUAGCCAUCUGGUACCCGUGGCAUUACUGCAUCAGUGGCUUGGAAUAAAGCACAUAGCUGUACCAAUCCAGAAGCCAUUCUCUUCCUUUCAGCCUAAAUUCACCAACCUCCCUGUGCGUCUGCCAGGCUGGAACCUCUGGACAGAUGGGCUACAUUUAUG
rnacentral:lncRNA from 1 species